UGAGGAAUAUUGGGCAAUGGGCGAAAGCCUGACCCAGCAACGCCGCGUGGAGGAUGAAGGCUUUAGGGUUGUAAACUCCUUUUGUGGGGGAAAAGAAUGGAUGGUACCCCAAGAAUAAGUCACGGCUAACUACGUGCCAGCAGCCGCGGUAAUACGUAGGUGACAAGCGUUAUCCGGAAUUACUGGGCGUAAAGCGCACGCAGGCGGUCAGAUAAGUCUGAUGUGAAACCUUCUGGCUUAACCAGAAGAC
rnacentral:rRNA from 1 species